CCAGAGAUAGCGGUACCUUGAGUCGGCUACUUAGGGAUGUAAGAAAAUGAAAGGAAUAAGAUUGCAAUAAUUUGUAAUAAAAGCAUGAUUGUAUUUGAAAGUUAAAUGUAAUAUGUAAUUGUGAUGUAAAAUGUAUCUAGUGAAUGUGAAUGCUUGUAAUAACAAGUAGAUUAUGUUUUUGAUACUUCCUUAUGCAAUCUUUGAUUAAAAUGUAUUCCUUGUUGGAACUUCGUACAUUGUAUUGAUUGCGACGCCUUGGACGUACAGGGGAGACUCU
rnacentral:lncRNA from 1 species